rnacentral:rRNA from 1 species
AGCGAACGCUGGCGGCAGGCUUAACACAUGCAAGUCGAGCGGGCGUAGCAAUACGUCAGCGGCAGACGGGUGAGUAACGCGUGGGAACAUACCUUUUGGUUCGGAACAACUGAGGGAAACUUCAGCUAAUACCGGAUAAGCCCUUACGGGAAAGAUUUAUCGCCGAAAGAUUGGCCCGCGUCUGAUUAGCUUGUUGGUGAGGUAACGGCUCACCAAGGCGACGAUCAGUAGCUGGCUGAGAGGAUGAUCAGCCACAUUGGGACUGAGACACGGCCCAAACUCCUACGGGAGGCAGCAGUGGGGAAUAUUGGACAAUGGGCGCAAGCCUGAUCCAGCCAUGCCGCGUGAGUGAUGAA